rnacentral:rRNA from 1 species
CCCUUAGAUGUUCUGGGCCGCACACGCGCUACACUGAAGGAGGCAGCGUGUACUCCUGGAUCGAAAGAUUUGGGUAACCCGCGAAUCUCCUUCGUGCUAGGGAUUGAGGUUUGCAAUUAUCCUUCAUGAACGAGGAAUUCCCAGUAAGUGCAAGUCAUAAGCUUGCGCUGACUACGUCCCUGCCCUUUGUACACACCGCCCGUCGCUACUACCGAUUGAAUGAUUUAGUGAGGACUUCGGACUGAGUCCAAUGCGGCUUUCGGGCUGCGUUGGUAUUUCGGAAAGAUGUCCAAACUGUAUCAUUUAGAGGAAGUAAAAGUCGUANCA